rnacentral:ncRNA from 2 species
GCGGGCAAGACGGGAGAACCGGCCACGGCCGGUGCCGAAGGCGCAACCGCCCCGGAAACGCUCAGGCCCCUGGACCGUCCUGCAGGG